AACGAACGCUGGCGGCAGGCCUAACACAUGCAAGUCGAGCGCCCUUUCGGGGGCGCGGCGGCCGGGUGAGUAACGCGUGGGAAUAUGCCCUUCUCUACGGAAUAGCCUCGGGAAACUGAGAGUAAUACCGUAUACGCCCUGUGGGGGAAAGAUUUAUCGGGGAAGGAUUAGCCCGCGUUGGAUUAGGUAGUUGGUGGGGUAAUGGCCUACCAAGCCGACGAUCCAUAGCUGGUUUGAGAGGAUGAUCAGCCACACUGGGACUGAGACACGGCCCAGACUCCUACGGGAGGCAGCAGUGGGGAAUCUUAGACAAUGGGGGCAACCCUGAUCUAGCCAUGCCGCGUGAGUGAUGAAGGCCUUAGGGUUGUAAAGCUCUUUCAGCUGGGAAGAUAAUGACGGUACCAGCAGAAGAAGCCCCGGCUAACUCCGUG
rnacentral:rRNA from 1 species